AUUGAACGCUAGCGGGAUGCCUUACACAUGCAAGUCGAACGGAGUGGCGAACGGGGAAGGAAUGUAAAGGACCGUGCCAAGUAGCGGGGGAUAACUACGAGAAAGCGAAGCUAAUACCGCAACCUAUUGGAGCGGCAGGUAUGGGGAUGGCUAGUUGGUGGGGUAACGGCUCACCAAGGCGACGAUCCGUAGCUGGUUUGAGAGGAAGACCAGCCACACUGGGACUGAGACACGGCCCAGACUCCUACGGGAGGCAGCAGUGGGGAAUUUUGUACAAUGGGGGAAACCCUGAUCCAGCCAUCCCGCGUGUGCGAUGAAGGCCUUCGGGUUGUAAAGCACUUUUGGCAGGAAAGCGGUACCUGCAGAAUAAGCACCGGCUAACUACGUGCCAGCAGCCGCGGUAAUAC
rnacentral:rRNA from 1 species